rnacentral:lncRNA from 1 species
AUUUCUAUUAUAAUAUAUGGAUGGUGCAUAGCAAUCCAUUUUACUUUACACGUGGACUUAGCAUAUUAAUACCUUCGAGACUAAGAUUGAAGAAGCAUGACAAUGCAUAAAUAAUUCUUGUAUAUAUAGAGACAUGGCAGAGAAAGAAAUGUACAAGUCUUAUUUCGAUAGUUAACAAAACAACUUUGUUCAGCAAACAUCUUUCCUCUAUUCUAGCUUAUAUUACGAUAAUAUUUCUGCUUAUAUCAACAUAUGUAUAUACACUAAUAUUGUAGAGCUAUUGGGUUUUUAUUCUAUAACACGUUAUCAGCACGAGAUUUUGCUCGAUAGGGAUUUGUUAUUUUCGUAUUUUUCUUUCUAUUUUAUUUUACGAAAAUUCAGAUCCUUGAUUCUAUUGUCGAAAAGACAAACGAGAAUGAUCAGCGAAUACUUCGGUAUUUUAUACGCUAUCAUUUCUCAAAGGAUAUGAUGGAUUCGUGUAUAUGUAUAUGCAUAUAGCUUAUAUACUAUCUGAAUUGCUGCUGAAAUUUGUAUUUGCAAGCUUGCGAAUCCCAAGCGGUGUUAUAAGCACGUGCUAUAUAUCAACAGAUCUGUGGGCCGACUUAGAGGCCAAGAUAUAAACUCCGAGCCUGAUGCUCAUGGAGUUGGAUAAAUAAUAAUCUCCGUUUAAAGCUGAUUUAGAGGCUAAAUCUUUAAUAUCGAUCCGAGUCUAAGCUCGUUGAGACAAGAAAGCCGAUUUAGAGGCUAAAUCUCUAAUAUAGCUCCGAGUCUAAGCUCGUUGAGACAAGAAAGCCGAUUUAGAGGCUAAAUCAUUAAUAUAACUCCGAGUCUGAGCUCGUUGAGAAAAGAAAGCCGAUUUAGAGGCUAAAUCACAAAUAUAACUCCGAGCCUGAAGCUCGUUGAGUCAAGACGUGAUAAUAUCCGUCAAAAGCCGAUUUAAAGGCCAAAUAUUUGAAAAUAUCUCCGAGCCUGAAGCUCGUAGAGUCGCUAGACGAGGUAAAACCCGUCAAGAGCCAACUUAGAGGCUAUUGAUCACAAGUCCAAAUUUAAAGGGUUUUUGGGUUAUUUUGUACCCACUGUAUAUAAAUCUCUCUUGGAAGGUGUGAUUCCCAAGAUUGAGUUGAUUUGAAUAAACCCACAUGUACAUAUCUCCCUUGGAGGAUAAAUACCCGAGGUCGAGCUGAUUUUGAUACACGUACAUGAAAAAUAUGGACAAAUAUGAUUAUUGCCUACUCGAUAGUGCAACUACACACUCAAUAUUCGAUAAUAAAAUAUAUUUCUCGAGUGUGACUUUGUGCAAGGCACAAGUUAAGACCAUAGCAGGUUCCGCGGAAAUAAUAGAUGGCUCCGGGAACGCAACAAUUGUGUUGCCUAAUGGUACCACUUUGCAUAUUGAAAAUGCACUGAUAUCCGGUAGAUCGAACAAGAAUCUACUGAGUUUUAAAGAUGUGAGACGCAAUGGGUAUCAUUUAGAGACACUGGUUGAAAAUACAGUGGAGUGUCUAUGCGUCACAUCAUAUGUCAUGGACAAAAGAAUUGUUCAUGAGAAGUUCGAAGCAACAGCUUCUGGACUGUAUUGUGUCCAAAUUCGAGCUUUCGAAUCCUACGCCACUAUGCCAUGGAAACUUGUUAAUCCCGAUAUACACGGGUUAUGGCAUGAUCGACUGGGUCACCCAGGAACGACUAUGAUGCGUAGGAUUGCACAACAUACUAAAGGACAUCCAUUAAAAGAUACAAAAAUCUUGAUGUCCAAUGAAUAUUUCUGUGAAUCAUGUUCACAAGGAAAGCUCAUUAUAAAACCUUCCAUUGAAAAGGUCGGUUAUGAUCACCAUCGUUUUUACAACGUAUUCAUGGUGAUAUUUGUGGACCAAUACACCCUGCAAGUGGGCCAUUUAGAUAUUUUAUGGUUUUGGUGGACGCAUCUUGUACGCGAAAUGUAGAUGGUCCCACGUAUGCUUAUUAUCUACGCGAAAUGGUUUUGGCCAUGUAGAUGGUCCCACGUAUGCUUAUUAUCUACGCGAAAUGUUGCAUUUGCGCGUUUGCUAGCACAAAUUAUUAAACUCCGAGCGCAUUUCCCUGAUUAUCCCAUCAAGAACAUAAGGAUGGAUAAUGCCGGAGAAUUUACAUCAAAAACUUUUGAUGAGUAUUGUGCAGCACUGGGAAUAAAUGUCGAGCACCCAGUAGCAUACGUUCACACUCAAAAUGGACUGGCGGAAUCUUUGAUUAAACGCGUCCAAAUAAUUGCUCGUACUUUACUGAUGAGAUCUAAACUCACUAGUGCAGCAUGGGGCCAUGCAGUAUUGCAUGCAUCAGCACUGAUUAAAUUACGCCCAACUGCUUAUCAUAUGCAUUCCCCAAUGCAAUUGGCAUUAGGCUUUGAGCCCGAUAUUUCGCACCUUCGUACAUUUGGUUGCGCUGUGCAUGUGCCAAUUCCUCCUCCUCAGAGGACUAAAAUGGGUCCCCAACGCCGACUUGGCAUAUACGUUGGGUUUGAUUCAUCGUCGAUUAUUAGGUUUUUGGAACCAAUGACGGGUGAUUUAUUUACCGCUAGAUUUGCGGAUUGUCAAUUUGAUGAGACAUUAUUUAUACCGAUUGGUAAGGAUAUUCAGAAUAUCCGUGAUAAUGAUAAACAAAAACCAAUCGAGAAUCUCACAUGGUGUGAGCAACAUUUAUCUCAUCUCGACCCACGUACCUCUGAAUGUGAAAAUGAGAUCCAUAGAAUCAUUCAUUUACAAAAUAUUGCCAAUAGACUUAGCUUCCUGAUGCAUUUAAUGAUGCCAGUAAAGUUACGAAGUCUUAUAUUCCAGCUGUGAAUGUUCCAGCUAGGAUCGCUGUUCCUGAAGAAUAUGCGAAAAUGAAUGAUGAUCCCCCACGACAAAAACGGGGUAGACCAAUUGGAUCAAAGGACGUUGUUCCUAGAAAAAGAAAGGGGAAAAUCAAUGAACCCUCAAAUGAGGCGAUUCCUAGUGAGAAUGCUCCAGAUAAAUCUGUUGAGCCUGAUAUCGAAAAAGCGAUAUCAAAUCCCGGGAAUACCGAGAAUCCCAUAAGUUAUUGCAAUGAAAUAUGGGAUAGAAAUGAGAUAAUUAUCGAUAAUAUUUUUGCAUUCUCGGUUGCACAAGAAAUUAUGUACGAUGAUUAUGAUAGUGAACCGCGUUCCAUAAUGGAAUGCCGCCAAAGAAAUGAUUGGCCUAAGUGGGAGGAAGCAAUGAAAUCUGAAUUGGCUUCCCUAGAAAAACGGAAAGUAUUCGGGCAAAUCGUUCAAACUCCGGAUAAUGUAAAGCCCGUUGGGUAUAAAUGGGUAUUUGUCCGUAAGAGGAACGAGAACAAUGAAAUUGUAAGAUAUAAAGCCCGCCUUGUAGCUCAAGGUUUCUCCCAGCGGCCUGGGAUUGAUUAUGAUGAGACGUAUUCACCAGUUAUGGAUACGAUCACUUUCCGUUUUCUUAUCAAUAUGGUCGUCCAAGAGGGACUGGACCUGCGUCUAAUGGACGUUGUAACGGCCUAUCUAUAUGGUUCACUAGAUUCUGAUAUUUAUAUGAAAAUUCCCGAUGGAUUUAAAAUGCCAAACUCUGGCGCUCCUCGUGAGCUGCACUCAAUCAAAUUACAGAGAUCAUUGUAUGGUCUAAAGCAAUCCGGUCGCAUGUGGUACCAUAGAUUGAGUGAAUACCUUAUCAGGGAAGGUUAUAAAAAUGAUCCUAUUUGCCCAUGCGUUUUUAUUAAAAGAUCAGAAACCGGAUUUGCUAUCAUUGCGGUUUAUGUAGAUGACAUGAACCUCAUUGGCACUCCUGAAGAGUUGGCCAAUGCUGCUGAAUAUUUAAAGAAAGAGUUUGAGGUCAAGGACCUUGGAAAAACCAAACUCUGUCUCGGUAUUGAGCUUGAGUAUAAAAAUAACGGCAUACUUAUACACCAAUCUGCAUAUACUAAACGAUUGCUCAGAAAGUUUAAUAUGGAAACUUCUAAUUCAUUGAGCACCCCUAUGGUUGUGCGCAAUUUAGAUCCUGAAAAGGAUCCGUUCCGACCUAAAGAAUUUAAUGAAGAGAUACUUGGCCCUGAAGUGCCGUAUCUCAAUGCUAUCGGAGCAUUAAUGUAUCUAGCACAAUGCACUCGACCUGAUAUCGCUUUUGCGGUAAAUGUGCUUGCGCGAUACAGUUCUGAGCCUACCCGGAGACACUGGAAUGGUGUUAAACAUAUUUUUAGAUAUCUCCGUGGUACUGCAGAUUUGGGAUUAUUUUAUUCAAAGAAUGCAACUAACCAAGGGUUAGUUGGUUAUGCCGAUGCGGGAUAUAGAUCUGAUCCCCACAAAGCUCGCUCACAAACUGGAUAUUUGUUUUGUUAUAAUGGUGCAGGUAUAUCUUGGCGAUCUACCAAACAGACAUUGGUGGCCACCUCCUCAAAUCAUUCAGAAAUAAUAGCCCUUUAUGAGGCAGGGAGAGAAUGUGUUUGGCUACGAUCGGUUGUUUCGCAUAUACAAAAUUCCUGCCAAUUACAUCCAGUUACAGACACGCCCACAGUCAUUUACGAAGACAAUGCUGCUUGUAUAGCGCAAACAAGGGGCGGAUACAUAAAAGGUGAUAGGACCAAACAUAUAUCACCAAAGUUCUUCCAUACACAUGAGCUUCAGAAGAAUGGAGAGAUCGAUGUUCGACAAGUUCGCUCAUGCGACAAUCUUGCUGAUUUGUUUACAAAGUCCUUACCGACUUCUACAUUUGAGAAAUUGGUGUACGGCAUUGGAAUGAGAAGAACCAAUAUGAAGCAAGAUUGACGCCCCAUUCCGGAACCUAUAUUGCUCAUUUCAGGGGGAGCAAUAGUGCGCUGCACUCUUUUUCCCUUUUGACUGGUUUUGGUCCCAUUGGGUUUUCCAGCAAAGGUUUUUAACGAGGCAGCUUAUGCACACGGCUUGGAUUGAGUUAUGCACUCUUUUUCCCUUCUGAUCGGUUUUGUCCCACUGGGUUUUCCGACUUGAGGUUUUUAACGAGGCAUAUCCAUAAACUUCACUCAUCCAAUUUAAAGCCGAUACAACAAUAAUGCUUCGUCCAAGGGGGAGUAUUAUAAUAUAUGGAUGGUGCAUAGCAAUCCAUUUUACUUUACACGUGGACUUAGCAUAUUAAUACCUUCGAGACUAAGAUUGAAGAAGCAUGACAAUGCAUAAAUAAUUCUUGUAUAUAUAGAGACAUGGCAGAGAAAGAAAUGUACAAGUCUUAUUUCGAUAGUUAACAAAACAACUUUGUUCAGCAAACAUCUUUCCUCUAUUCUAGCUUAUAUUACGAUAAUAUUUCUGCUUAUAUCAACAUAUGUAUAUACACUAAUAUUGUAGAGCUAUUGGGUUUUUA